rnacentral:rRNA from 1 species
GACGAACGCUGGCGGCGUGCUUAACACAUGCAAGUCGAACGAGGCCCAUUCUUCGGGGUGGGUUCUAGUGGUGAAACGGGUGAGUAACACGUGGGCAACCUGCCCCCGGCUCUGGGAUAACGUCCAAGAAAUUGGGGCUAAUACCGGAUAUGACCGCUGACCGCAUGGUCUGGUGGUGGAAAGUUUUUCGGCGUGGGGAUGGGCCCGCGGCCUAUCGAGCUUGUUGGUGGGGUAGUGGCCUACCAAGGCGACGACGGGUAGCCGGCCUGAGAGGGUGA